UACAGAGGGUGCGAGCGUUAAUCGGAAUUACUGGGCGUAAAGCGCACGUAGUCGGCUUUGCAAGUCGGGUGUGAAAUCCCCGGGCUCAACCUGGGAACUGCAUCCGAGACUGCAUUGCUAGAGUAUGGGGAGAGGGAAGCGGAAUUUCUGGUGUAGCAGUGAAAUGCGUAGAUAUCAGAAGGAACAUCAGUGGCGAAGGCGGCUUCCUGGACCAAUACUGACGAUCAGGUGCGAAAGCGUGGGGGAGCAAACAGG
rnacentral:rRNA from 1 species